UGUGUGUGUCGGUGUGUGUAGCCUAUGUUAGUGUGUGUUUGAGUCGGUGUGUAUGUGUGUGUGUUUGUGUGUGUGUAAAACAUGCAGUGUUGUGGAAUGACACCGCAUGGCAUCAUGAGUUGUUGGCCGGUUUGGUUCUCAACAGAGAUCAUCUGUGCGAACAGAAUACAUGGUUUUCAAAUUCCACGUUUCCUCGAUGUAGCCUAAUUUAAUUAUAUUUAUUUUAUUUUAUCCUCUUUUAUUUUUUUCAAAGAAUGAUAUUAAAACACAAGGUUUGAAUUACAAUUCAAGCAGAACGCCUUGAAAUAGUUUUACUCAGGCUUCAUCGAUGCCAUUUUAUUAGACUAUUAAAGACGUUUAUUUUAUUUUAUUCUACCUAAUAUGAUGUUUAAGAUUGUAGUCUCACUUUAUAUUGUGCUAUUUUCGCUUUAUGUUUUAAUCCAUUAUAUUCUAAUAUGUUGCUCGACAUCUUGUCAAAAUUACAACCUGAUAUACGUUCAUGCUGUAUGCUAUAAUCUGAUUUAUUUGAGUUAAUCAUCGCACUAAAUAACUAUUGCCCAAAUCUAUUUUUGAAAGAAUGACAGUUGUAACAUUAUAACAAACCAAUAACUGUGCGUCUGAUUAAAGACUCAUUUGUGUCUUAAACAAAUUAUGAUAAUUGUUUUUCCAUCUAUUUAAAAAAAAUACCGUUAUACAUGAUGUUUAAUAUAAUCUCCAUGUAAGACUUAUUCAUGUUUUCAUAAAGUAUUUUCUCGGCUGCGUCUCCAGCUGCUGGUACGGCCCCUAGUGGCAAGAGUUUAUUUUCAUUUGUACCUAUAUGUCUCCCUCAUUGCCAUGGGCUAUACAAUUACCAUAUGCUCUUUUCCCCUUUGCCAGAAUUAAUCAUUUCAUAGAUGUGUAUAUUUGCAUUUUAUUUGGAUGAAUUGACAUGUACCAAUAUCUCAGCGAUCAGCUCAGAAAUUGUAUUUAUGAUAACAUUACUUUUGUAAGAGUUCAAACCGCAGCAUCCUUCGUGCGCGGCGGCUGUUAGAAUAUUAUUUUUUUUCCAGUUAUAUUGUUGCCCUUUUUUUUCUCGCUUGUUUUUGCACUGAUCCUAUCACCUAAAUUUUUGCAACCACAAAACAGUAUUUUGAUAUCACAGCGUGCUGCUCGCUAUAUUUGCUGUAUCCGUCCCAACCUGGUGUAGCGGGGGGCUUACAAGUGGCCCAAGGGAGCCGCCCCGCUAGUUUCUCCUGUAUUUUGUCAAACAACGGCUUUAAUUCAGGAUGAUUGUGGAUGCAGGGCCAUUCCCGGGUGGAUGGAGGCCUGCUUUCAGGGAGCUGCGGGGCCCCGCUGUUCCUUUAUUAUCAUAAGCAGAUUAGAGGUAGCGGGGAACACACUCAGAUGCAGAUAGCAGCCGAGCGGCCCAUUUCAACCUUGCAUUAUAAUGGGCCGAGCUGCAUGUGUCGCCUCUCGUAGCCUAUUAAGCACAAGAUGAAUCUUAUGUAAGGUUGCCGGGGCCGGCAUAAUGAGAGCACGGGGGCUCCGCUCCUCCAUUUAUUAUCAAAUGACUAAAACAAAAUAAUAAGGCUUGAUCUAUUCACUUUCAAUUACGAUUUAAUCUAGAGACACGCAUUUCAAUUUAAUUAUUUCAGGUGUAUGUACUUGAUCUAUCUUUAAUUAUUGGGAUUGUCUGGCCUGCAGAGCCAGACAGGCUUUGUUGAGCUCGUCAGUUCUUUAUUUUAGGCCUGGUGUUGUUGGGUGAUGAAUGUAUUGUAAAUGCAUAUUUUUUUUAGCAUUUCAUAUAUCUUUAGCUGAACUUCUAAAAACAGUCAUCCUCCAUUCCCUCUCUCUACAUUGAGGAAAACCUGCCUGGGCUUUUUGGAGUUGUCCGUAGUUCCCCAUCUGUCCAGUAGGCGGCGCUGGUGUCACGCAGCCUACUGGACAGUCUUUAGAUGGAGAUUCAGGAAACGAGGCAAAGCAAGUGGCAACAACACUCCCAACCGCGCAAACAAACUUUGGUCGUUUUGGACAUUAAAACUAUACGAGUGAAUUAUUUCGACUUGACUACGAUGAUGCAGGUUUUUUUUCCUCUGAUAAUAUUCGCUGUCCGGUCAGUUUGAUCCAGAGGAGAGUGAGGCAGGUGGAGGCCGCUUUUCAUUCACACUAAUUGGCCGACACGCUUGUUCAGGCUUAUAUGAAUGAGCCGCGGCUUUUGUUCAAACACACUUUAUCUUUAAAUAUUCCUCACCUUUAAUUCUCCUCCCCUCGUGUCCCCGGUAGGCCGUAGGCCUACAGCCUAACCCCCCCCUGUAAAGCUCCAACAACAACAGCAGCACUGUGGCGGUGGAAGUGGAGUGGAGUUGGGUCUUUGUCCGGACAGAUGUAGCGACAACAUCCCAAACAAAAACCGCUUAUUUGUGCUGAGAUGAGCCCGUCUGCCUUCUGUGUGUUGGCAUUCAACUUCACUAAACAAAAGGACUGGGGGAAACAUCUUGGAUUACCUUUCCUCUUUUCAACGCUAAAAACCAGCCGUCCCCCCCAACACACACACACACACACACACACACACACACACACACACACACAUUCACACACCAGCAUCGCUAUUCAACGCUUUGAGUUAACCAACAAAGUUUAUUUAAGUGUUGUUAUGUUAUUUGGCCCGUAAGUGGGGGCAUUAGUGACUUUUUAAUUUUGAACAACAGCAGGGUCACGGCCGGGACUUAAUGUCAGGACAAUGCUGUUCAAGACAAGAUGACACUGACACCAUUCAUGUCAACAUGCGAUGAAUUUAUUUAACACCUUUUUUAUUUAUUUUAUUCUCAUCUCAUUUCAUGUCACCUGUUCGACUUCGGAUUUGUUGGUAGAAUCUAGGCUACACAUUUAAUUAGAAAACAAACCUUAUUUAUUAGAAAUUCUUAAGUCACCCUUAAGACAUAUCUUUUGUAUUUAUUAGGAACGUUUUUAGUCAUAAUAUACUUGUUUAUGUUUGCAAGACGACACUUUGUCAUUUCAAAACUGCCAGCAAACUUUUGAAAGUCCCUCUUCCUCUGUAUAAUAUAAGAUAUUGUUCAUAAAGUGCCACUGUAUAUAUACAUAUUCUCCUAGAAAUAUCUCCAUAAGCCUGCAGAUGGUAAAUAUGUACUUUAUAUUGGCUCAUAUGGGCAGCCCGAGAUCGCAUGUGUGCGUGUGUCUCGGGGCAGAGCAGACCCCACCCCUUUAUGCUAAUUAAUCUCCCCCAUUGGCGUGUCAGGGGAGCAGGCCGUCUCUGAUUGGCCAGGUCGAAGCCAUUUAUUCGCUGACAGCCCCGUCACAUGAAUGGUUGUCUAUUAACUUGUUCAAAAACUAUCUGGAGUUGUCAAGGCUCAGGCGGACGGAGGGCGAAAAGUACAGUUUGUUGAUGCUUUUUCGGAGAAGCGACUGGAGAAGUUUUGUGGACACAACAUAGCAAGGGACCUAUUGGGAGAAGGCUCUUUGUCACACAUACACACACGCGCGCACUCUGAAACACACUCACCGAGCGGGAGAGAGAGAGAGUGUGUAGAGACGCGGCUCGGGUGCUUGUUGUUUUUGUCCAGAGAAAAAGUUGCAGAGAAAAAAUCGACAGGUAACUUUUCAGCAGCAGCCCCUGCGCUCCUCACUGUCCUGCCUCUGGCUUGUGGAGUUUGUCUCUGUUUUUUUUUUUCUUCUUCUUCUUUUUUCUCCUCUGCUCGGGAGCCCCAACUGAAAGCUGUUCCUGAUGUAUAACAUGAUGGAGACUGAACUGAAGCCCCCGGCUCCCCAGACCAACACGGGGGGCUCGGGCAACACCAACACGUCCGGCUCCGGCCCCAAUCAGAAAAACAGCCCGGAGCGGGUCAAGAGACCCAUGAACGCGUUCAUGGUGUGGUCCCGGGGCCAGAGGCGGAAGAUGGCGCAAGAAAACCCCAAAAUGCACAACUCGGAGAUAAGCAAGAGGCUGGGCGCGGAGUGGAAACUUCUCUCGGAGAGCGAGAAGAGACCUUUCAUCGACGAAGCCAAGAGGCUGCGGGCCCUGCACAUGAAGGAGCAUCCGGAUUACAAAUACCGGCCCCGGCGGAAAACCAAGACCCUGAUGAAGAAGGACAAGUACACCUUGCCCGGCGGGCUGCUGUCCGCGGGAGGAAACGGGAUGGGAGGUGGUGUCGGCGUCGGGGUGGGGGGCGGCCUGGGCGGUGGGGUGAACCAGCGGAUGGACAGCUACGCGGCGCACAUGAACGGCUGGACCAACGGCGGCUACGGCAUGAUGCAGGACCAGCUGAGCUACCAGCACCCGGGGCUGAACGCGCACAACCCGAGCCAGAUGCAGUCCAUGCACCGCUACGACAUGAGCGCCCUGCAGUACAACACCAUGGCCAGCUCCCAGAGCUACAUGAACGGCUCCCCGACAUACUCCAUGUCCUACUCCCAGCAAGCCACACCGGGGAUGACCGCCCUGGGCUCCAUGGGGCCCUCCUCGGUGGUGAAGUCCGAGUCCAGCAGCUCCAGCCCGCCCGUCGUCACCUCGUCGUCCCAUCGGGCCGGCCCGGGCUGCCAAAGCGGAGAUCUGAGGGACAUGAUCAGCAUGUACCUGCCCGGGGCGGAGGUCAGCGAGCAGACCGCCCAGACCAGGCUACACAUGUCCGGCCACUACCAGAGCACCGUGCCCGGGACGACGAUCAACGGCACGCUGCCGUUAACACACAUUGCCUGCGGACGGCCCCAUCAAGCCAAAGUUUGUUGCCUGUUUCCUAAAAAGGGGGAAGAUUUUUCCACCACAUAAUGCCCAACAUCCCCAGAGGCCCGGGGAAGGUGGUCCCGUCCUUUCAUCCACCCGUCUAUCUACCCAUCCGUCCGUUCAUCCAUCCAUCCAUCUCCCCUUCUGUUGCUCGCGUGCAGAGUCUGGCUGUCGCAGCUCGAGGAUAUUUGGACUGCAACAGGUGUGGCUUCACAGGAAAGUGAAGACACAAACAAGAAUCCAGGACAAAGCAUGAACCGGAUGGCAAAUGAGAACUGAGGAGCAGCAGCUGCUGUAAUCUCCACUGUUCAAUUAGCUGCACUGACCGGGACGCCACCUACACUUCAUUAACAGGGAGGCGAAGGUGAAACAUCAAGCCAGUGGGAGUACAAGAGAUGGAGAGUAAAUGAGAGCUUGCUGUUAGUGGUGUGAGCCAUUUCCAGGUGAAGCAAACUGAAUUAAAUUGAAUCAAGCUGAACUGAUCUGAACUGGAACGACCUGAACUGAACUGGAACGAAAGCUUCAGCUGGACAGGACACCGACUGGCUGAGGUUUUGGGAAAAAAUAUUCAGGCAGAGAAACAACUUUGAAAUAAUACAGAUAAAAACCUUCCGUCAUUGAUGCCCGUUGUUUCUGGGAGUGCUUCCUUGCUCCAUUUCCUAUUUGUUCUUUCACGUUAUUACCUUUGUAUUAUGUUCUAUGACAUAAAUUAAACCCAAAUGAAUUUUGACACUGACACAAUGACAGCUUUCUCUUGUGUGCAUAUAUCUUUGUUUUCUACACAGCUCAUUACUUGCCAUUACGUGUGUGUGGUAUUGUUUUCGCCUUGUGAAGUCUGCGUGUGUGUCUUCAUGGUAAAAUGUCGUCCUGGAGACACCUGUAGCAGGAACUACCACAGAGGAGGUUUUGACAAACACGGGACUUUCGUCCAGGAGUCGGCUGUUUGUUUUUCCGUGCGAACGUAAAAGUAAAAGCUGACAUUUUGCCACGUCAGUCGUUAGCGUCGUUAGUCACGUGACGUCCGUGCGGUUGUCAGGUACGUACCAACGCUCUUUCCCUGAACCUUAAUUUGACGCUUUGGUUUGAGCGUGGUCGUACGCAUGGUUUUUUGAGCGUACACGAGGUUCACGGGGGCAUGCCCACCCUAAAAAUGUAUAAUUUUCCUGAUCUGAAUAUGAGCAUUUUUAAGGUGAUUGGAGAGCAAAACUUGGAUAACAGCAUUAAAACCAUUAGUACAAAUGAUAUGUCAAAAAGUAAUACAUGAGAAUCAUUGUAACACUUGAUUCUCAUGUAUUACUUUUUGACAGAUCAUUUGAAUGAUCCCAGUGCAAUCGAAAAAUGCUGAAACGGCUGAAAUGAUCACAAAACAUCUGUAAAUGUUGCUAAACAAUGUUGCCAAUGUUUAAAGUGUUAAAGUAAAAGUAACGCAACUGUUCUCUCUCACUCUCUGUAUUAAAUGCCUCUUUCUCUUUCUCUGUCACUCCUCACUUGUCUCUCUUGCCAAUGUGUAUAUAAAAAAUCCUUUCCUAAAAUUACAUACACCAUCUUUAUUUCGUCUUUGUGUUUGAGUUCACAUCAUUUAGGAUUUCAAUUAUAGAAACGUGUCUCAAGCACAUCAACAUAAGCAAAAUGUGUGUUUUCAUUAUAUCUAUACAAUAAUGGUAUGUUUUUACACUCUGUUGUGUUGUUAAAUUGAGCCUAUAGGUUCCACUAUAUAAACCAAAGAACAUAUACUGUAUUUCUGUGAUGAUAACAGUUUGAAUUGGAUCAAGUGAGUAUUUGUUUGUGUUAAACAGCUAAAUGCUAAUCAUACCCUGGUGGCAGUAGGCAGUACCUGCUCUUCCUCUCUCAUCUCCAUCACCUUCUCUCGUUCUUGGUCUCCGUCUCCUCAUCUUGUCCAGUAUCUCUUCCCUUCCCAAAGCUGAGAUCACCACCAUCUCAUAGGUCUUAAAAAGUUGGCAUUUUGUAGAUAUUUUUAUAUUAAUAUUUGAACAUACUUGGAGUAUAUACGUAUAUAUUAAAUGUUCAUAAGCAUUUAAACAGCAAAGCUGCUAUAAUCGAUAUGUUUUACAAUAAUGUAUAAAAGAUUCAAAUGUAAAAGGGGUCGCUUGUAGUGACCUACAGAGAGUUAUCACCUGAAUCUGUAGCUCUCCGUUCUAUAUUGAUUUCCAGCUCAUUGUUUACUGGCCCACAUUCACUCUCACCGCUCUCAUAGCGUCAUUUUCUGCAACCGCAGGCAGCUGUUUACAGCGAAGGAGCUCUAAAAACUCUCUGUGCACCACCUGCUCAGCAACAGUUAGGGAACAUAGUGGGGCAUUUAGCAGCUAAAGAGCCAGAUAUCCCCUCAGGAGCCAUUAGAGAUGAGCAAAAACAAAAAAACAGAGCUAAAAGAAAGUGAAUAUUGGAUAUUUCAUUCAUAAACACAAUCAUGACUAAAUGAAGCAUUAACUGCUGGAAGUGUAAAUCAGCAACUGUUUGCGAACAAGUUUCUCACGCACGUUUUCUCACGCACGUUUCUGAGAAGCUGAAGCAUGUUUCAGAGGCUUUCUGUCCACAUUUGGAGCUGAAUGUGUGUCUUCUUCUGUACUGGACAUUUAGAAUACAGCACCAUGUCAUUUCAUACAUUCAAUAAAGAUCAAAUGCCUAGUUAAAACCUUC